UUGUAGUUCUUCCAGCUUCUCUCCUUCCAGAUCUGGGCGUGCAAGUCAUGUGAGACGGAGAGGAUAGUUGCGGCGGCUGCGAUGUUGCAGGCCCUGGUUCUGAACCUCCAACAUGAGUCUCUUUCUUCCGUGCUGCCCAUGGAGGUCACCGGUAGCAGGAACGCCAUGAGUCGGCACAAGCAUUGCAGACGCGGAGGAUUUUUACUGGGGGCGAGCUACUCGUUCCCGGCAGUGCCGGUGUCAACUACCUCGAGCCACUUCUUGUUCAUGUAACUGCAUCUGUCCGGUGGCACGGUGAUGGAGACGGCGUUGGUGCGCAUCCCGCAGCUACUCCGGGAUUAGCUCGAUGCUUGGCACCGCCGCGCUCGUUGGCUGCAGCUGGGGCAUGGCGACGACCGUUGAAACGAAGGCCAGAUCGGAGGUGCCCGUCGCUGCUGCCACAGGGAGGGGAUCGGGAGACGCCCGUGGAAGAUGCUAUGGUGAGAAGAUAGAUGAAGAAAGAACUCAAGAGCUAAUAUUGUUGUUGCGGAUGUUUUGAGCAAACAACUAAAAGAAGAUAGAUGCUCUAGCAUGUUGAGCCCAUUGGAUUGAAGCCAAAGGAUGAAAUGACUUGUCGUCAUACCUCCAUUGCGCAGAUUGGGGAUGGAUAAUGAGAUUGUGACAUUGUCGUUCUUUCGUUAUUGAUAUCAAGGUUAUGCCAAAGUGACGUGCUUAAUGUGUCAACGUUUCUAGCAGAAAAUAAUGUUAAGGUGAAGCAAAUGCUAAGUGAAGAGGAACAAAGACAAAGACUGAUUUGAAUUUAAGAGGUGUCAUCUCAAAUUCGCAAUUG